GCAAGUCGAGCGGUAACGAUCCUAGCUUGCUAGGAGGCGACGAGCGGCGGACGGGUGAGUAACGCGUAGGAAUCUACCCAGUAGUGGGGGAUAGCCCGGGGAAACCCGGAUUAAUACCGCAUACGCCCCACGGGGGAAAGCAGGGGAUCUUCGGACCUUGCGCUAUUGGAUGAGCCUGCGUCGGAUUAGCUAGUUGGUAAGGUAAAAGCUUACCAAGGCGACGAUCCGUAGCUGGUCUGAGAGGAUGAUC
rnacentral:rRNA from 1 species